rnacentral:lncRNA from 1 species
AAGACUAGGAAAUUUUUUUUUUGUUGCCCACACGGGAGUGCAGUGGCAUGAUCAUAGCUUACUUCAACCUUGAUCUCCCAGGCUCAAGCAAUCCUCCCACCUCAACCUCCCGAGUCUGAGACUACAGGCUCAGGCCACCCACCUGCAAAUUUUUAGUAGAGACAGGAGUUCACUAUGUUGCCAAGGCUGGUCUUGACCUCCUGAGCUUAAUUGAUUCUCCCACCUCAGCCUCCCAAAGUGCUGGGAUUACAGGCAUGAGCCACUAUACCCAGCCAGGAUUAGGAAAUUUAACAGCACACAUCUUCAACCUCCAUCUUACUCUAGAGAGUACUGCUGGGGGUGAAAGGUGGUUAUUGGAGAACCCAGGAUUCUGCCAAUGCCAAUCUCUGCCAAUUAUCCCUCUUCCCUGUAGACUCCUAAGGACACUGUACACAUGUAACAAUAGCAAAUAAGAAACAAAGUGCAUGACUUGAUUAUGUGUUAGAUCUUAGAUCACAGUACUGUGCAAGGAAGGCUCAGGUAAUUUCAUGGAACGUGUUUUAGGCUCAGAGCCUAAUCGGGUAUAUUACCUCAUCCUAGGCUCAUGUCUGUAUCUGGGAGCCUGUGGAUGUCUGACUGGUGUAGGAACCCAAAGCAGUGACCCAUAUGCUUGAGCAAAGAGAACAGAGAUGGCUGAGGUUAGGCUGUAAUUUGAACCUACCUACCACAGAGAGAAGAGGGGCCAGGGAGAGAAAAACCAUUUGUGACUUUUUUUUUUUUUUUUUUUUUUAAAGAAAGAGUCUCAGUCUGCGGUCAGGCUGGAGUGCAGUAGCUCAGUCUUGGUUCACUGCAACCUCUGCCUCCCGGGGUCAAGUGAUCCUUAUGCCUCAGCCUGCCGAGUAGCUGGGAUUACAGGUGUGCACCACCAUGCCCAUGUAAUUUUGUAUUUUUGGUAGAGAUGGUGUUUCACCAUGUUGCCCAAACUGGUUUCAAACUCCUGUCCUCAAGUGAUUCUCCUACCCUCAGCCUCCCAAAGUGCUGAGAUUACAGGCAUUGAGCCACUGCACCCGGCCUCGUGUGACUUUUUAACAUACUGUGAACCUUACCUACUAUCAGCCCUGCCAACUGCAUGUCUUAGAUAUGGGUCAGGUGUAUUAUCAGGUCCUCCACUGGGACACAAUGGGGAAGAAAGGGAACUGAAAGGGAGUAGGCCUCGUACAGAGAGGUUCUUUCUUAUCCUUCAUUGUGCCAGUCCUCAGACAUUGAUGGUCACUGUGUUCCUUUGCUGGUGAUUGCAGUUCCCUUUAGUGUCUCUUCCCUCUGCUCUACCCAAAGAGGAACCAUUCUUAGUAGUGAUCCCUUGAGCCACACUUGGUUGGCCCAGAACUGUUAUUUUUUCAGACACAUUGACCACAUUAUAGCCCAGUACCUUCACAUGUCCUCAUAGAUCCACAAUUUCUCUAAGCUAUAUAAGCUACACUACGUUUUUGAUUAAUUAGAGAGAGGGGUCUCCCCAGUUAUUAUGCUACCACUCCUGAAAUUCUUUGGAGUUUUCUUAAAAGGAAUUUCUGACAGAAACUCUGGAAGAACUUUUAGGAAGGGAAAGUUAGGGAUUGGUGAAUCCUCAAGUAAUUUGAAACACUCCUUAUGUUUAGUGUUUGAGCAGGUGGAAAAAAGUGCUUCAAGAAGUUAUGUGUUGUGCAAUCAUUGGCCUUGGUGAAGAUUUCACCACCUUCCCUGAUCUUCCUGUUUUCCCCGUUACUAGUUUUAUAAAAAUUCAUUGGGUUUUAUACUUACCCAACCUUGACCUCAAAAUCUACAACCAGGCCUGUGGGGUGUUGAAGAACUGAGUGUUGGGUGUCAUUUGCAGUCACCCUGCACUACGGACAGAGUCAUGCUGGGUCCCCUUUCCUCUAAACAAGAAGGCUGAGGCUUAGUCUGCAGCAGGAGCUCCAGAAGCUUGCCUGGACCUGGAGGUCUUUGGCAUCUUCAAGGCAUUUCAUAGACGUAAGGUGUUCCAGCAGGUUAAGAGAGAAGUGAUGCAAGACAGAUCCAAUGGGGUUUUUCCACUGCCUUGCUUAAAACACAGUGUGUGUUUGGUUGGUAUAUUCGUUACAUUUUUCAGUUUAGGUGAAGUAUGUGAGAUGGUAAGAUUGCAAUUAAACCUAGGAAUACCGUAUAAUCCAGCAUUUCCACUUCUGGAUACAUACCCAAAAGAUGUGAAAGGCGGCACUCUGACAGAUAUUGUAUACCCAUGUUUAUAGCAACAUGAUUCACAAUAACUAAAAGGAGCAACCCAAGUGUCCAUUGAUGGAUAAGUAGAUAAAUGAAAUGUAGUGUAUACCUACAUUGGAAUAUGAUUCAGCCUUAAAAGGAAGGAAAUUCUGACAUAUGCUACAACAUGGAUGAACCUUGAAGAUACCAUGCUAAGUGAAAUAAGCCAGACAUAAAAGGGUGUAUACUGUUAUGAUUCCACUCACAUGAGGCUCCUAGAGUCGUUAAAUUCAUACAGCCAGGAACUGAUGGUUGCCAGGAGCUGGGGGAGAGGGGGGAAUGGAGAGUUAGUGUUUAAUGGAGUUGUAUUUGGGGAAGAUGAAAAAAUUCUGGAGAUGGAUGAUGGCAGUUGCACAACAACAUGAAUGUGCUUAAUGACACAAUGUACACCUAAAAAUGGAAAAUUUUAUGUGUAUUUUACCACAAUAAAAGAGAUUCAGGAUAAUAACCCUCUUGAAGCCAAAAACAGGAUUUAGUUGAUUUCUCUGCUCUCCCUUAGUUUUCCGUGUGAAGAUAACUGCUGUUUCAAGUAAGCAAUUAAAAUGUAAUUGCCAUGUCUUUAUGCAUUUCAAGUUCUCUAAUCUGAAGUCCUUUACACAUGUUUCCAGGGUUUCCAACAUAGCAUAGCUUUAGAAUUGUGUAAAAUGUAAAG